rnacentral:misc_RNA from 1 species
AACGGUCUAUACCUGCGGUACCUGCGGAGGGAUCAUUAAUGAGAAACUGCCCCUCGCGGGUAGAUCUCCCACCCUUUGUAAACUUACCUUUGUUGCUUUGGCAGGCCCGUCUCCGGACCGCCGGCUUCAGCUGGCCAGUGCCUGCCAGAGGAUUCUAAAACUCUGUCUGUCAGUGUUGUCUGAGUCUAUAUACAAUCGUUAAAACUUUUAACAAUGGAUCUCUAGAUCGGAAGAGCACAC